AAAACCUAAUUGUCAGCUUCCUUUGAUUUUUCUCGUCCAUUAAAAAAUUAUCACCAACCGCCUUAAUGGCGUCCCCAUAUAUCUAGCCGUCUAUUCCGGAUCUCAUGGCUUAAUCCUAACCGUUGAUAUCUACCCUUUCUUCAAUAAAUAACGUCUCUGCUUCGUAACUAUGUGAACCAUUUUCUCUCCCUUUCUUCUAAAAAACCCUGAUGAAAACUGAAAUUUUCAGAUCUGGUCCUGUAAGUUUCGAAUCGUUCAUUUCUUUCAUGAAAUUUAUACAAAUCUUUCGACGAUCUAUGUGUCUAUAUCAAUUUCCUCAGUGUUCUUUUGCGGAUAAAUACUCAUACAUGAAUUCAAUCUAGUCAACUUAUUGUUGUGGCGAUGAUUGAUUUGGUAUAAUUGUCGAUCCAAGGGGUCGAGUCGGACAAGUUCCAAUGACCGGGAAGAGAUAAAGGACAACGAAGGAAUCAGUUUUCCAGAUCUGAGGGCUGAUGAAAUGUACACUAGGUCAAUCAGGCGGCUAGACUGUUAUCUGUCGCAGGGUUUGUGUGGACGGAAAUAUUUAGUGUUCUGGAAGAAGAACGCGAAGAAAGAUUGAUGAAUCAUCACAGACAAUUUUGGCGGUUUGUAUGUACAUCAAUACUAUGUAUUGGUAUUGUGUUGUAUAGAUUUGAAUUUAGUUGUAUUCUUUGCGAGGAGAGGAAAGAAAUUGUGAGUGAAACUAUAUCGGACCUAUGCCAUGUUGGGUGCGCUCGCCUGGCAGGUCAACCAUGGUAAUAAAAAAAAACCUUUUGUUUUUUUGGGGAAGUUGGCACGGGGUGAUUCCCGGCUCUUCCUCCCGUCGGUGUCCUUGCGUUCUCUCUUUUCUUUUCUUGUCUCUUUCUCUUUCUAUCCCCUGAUUUCGUUUUGACAUGAUUAGACAACACAACGUACAUCAUAACGUUCAAAUACUGCGCCGGUCUUUCUACUCAUCAGCGUUCAAGAAUCAUGAAGGUAUACUCUCUGCUAAUUUUAUUUUGCAGUACCUUCAAAUAAACUACAUUUACUAAUUAAUUAGUGAUUAAUAUCGUAGUAACCGCAGUAUGAGCAGCUUUUAUAACAAAAAAGAAUCUUAACACUAAGUAGAGAAAAAUUUUAUUAAUGAUUAAUAUCCUCAUUACGUUGAUAAAACAUUUUCGAUUAAUUCAAUUUGAUAUAGGGGUGUUUGAUUCUUAGCUUUUGGAUUAGCUAUUUGAUUGGCUUUGCGCUUUUGAAUUGUUGGUGGAUAAACAGCCAAAAAAUAAAAUUGGUAACAAACGCUGAAGAGCUAGCAGGAAAAAGCUUCUCUAGCUAGUUUUUUGUUGGCUUUUGCUUGUUUGCUUUGCUCACAUUUUUUCUAAUAAGCAGUCAGUCAAAAGCCAAUUCUGUAAUAUACCCCAACAUCUCCACCAACAUGCGUUUUCAGUUAAUCUAAUUUAGAAGCCAACCAAACAUGACAUUUCUAAAAAAGCCAAUAGUCAAUUGCCAAACAUCCCCAUAAAAUAAAUUAUUCCAUUCCAACUAAAUUGAACACAUAAUCCUCAAUAGUUAAUUUAAUUUAUUUUAAAUGAACAGAAUAUUGGAAUAUUUAUCAACAAACAAUUGGCGUGCUGGGUUUUCAUAUUAUGCCCAAAUUAUGCGAGAUUUUCACAUUUCUGAUGAACAUCCAAUUUGUUCUUAUUAAUAAUGUUCGGCAUUUUUGAGAGUUUGUUUCCAAACUAAUUCGUAAGUUUUAACAUAAAUUGGAUUGAGGGAUUGUAAUCUUUGAUAUGGCAAGUCAUUUCAAUCCAAAACACUGGCAGCUCUUUUUCUCUAAACUCUCCUUAGUGUUAGUAUUGCUACCUGGUUUAUUGUUAAUUUAUGUCUAAUAUAAUUCUCAUUUUUGAGCAAGUUCAUUCAUCUUCACAUGAUUCGUUCUUUUAAGUUAAAUGUUCGUUCUUGAUUAAGGAUUUUUAAAUUUGUGGCAAUUGACAUCCCCAUAUGCGGCAGAUUGACUUGUCAAAUGUAAGCCAUGUGGGAUAUCAUGUAAGGCCUAGGUUAGGUUGCUAUGUAUGUUGCUUUGCUUGAGUGUAUAGUUUGCAAGCUCAUGUACGUGGAGACAUCUUCCGAUUCCAGUUUGAGAGAUCAACCCCAAGCAAGGAAUUGUUAUGGCGAGAUGAAGCCGUAGAUUAGCUGUUGAGAUGGAGCCGUAGAUCAACCCCAAGCAAGCGGUGCCUUUGUAAAGCUGAUUGCAGCCUUGAUUUCUGUUAAGUUGAAGUUUCUCUUUGAUAGUUCAUCAUGUUUUGAUAGAGCUUUGGACAUCUCUUGUUCAACAUUCAGUUUUGAUUGAUGAAAUGUUGUCGGAGUUCUGUUUCAAGCUUAUCUGGUUUUGAGUACUCUCUGGUUUCUUAAUUGGCAACCUGUUUCUGGUGUAUUGGAAUUGAGUGUCAAUUUCAUGGAGUGAUUCUGAGAAAUUUAUGGAUAGAAGCAUUUGGAACCUGUCUUCAAGUAUUUGUUCGUUCUGUGGUGAGGAAUUUUUGAUAUUCAUUUGAACUUUAUUCUAUAUUCAAUUUCCAUAUUUGAAGUUUAUAAGUUAUUAUUUACGCAUUCUUUUCUCUUGUUUCAGUAUCUGAUUGCUGUUAUAUUAGCGAAAUCUAGUCUUCUCUAAUUCAUUUAGGGCUUGUGUUUUAAUCAAAAUUUUAAUUCUUUUAAUUCGGUUUUAGAUUGUUUUUGAUAGACAAGUGGGAGUUUAUUUUGGUAUUACAAAUAUGUAUUGCUGAUUUUUUAUUUUGAGUUACCGUUUUAUUUUCUACUAAUCUUGAUGAAUUACAUCAAAUCUCUCUACUUUCAAAUGUUCUGAUUUUUUUAAGUAGGAAUGUCAAUUUUAUUGGUAACAAAAUAAAUUCAACGCGUUUCAUUAAAAAAAAAAAGAAUUCAACGGUUUCAUUCAAAAAAAAAAAGAAUUCAACGGUUUCAGUUUUAUACCCCCUUUUUUCAUUUACACCAAUUUUUUUUGUCAUGGAUAUUUCUUUUCUUUUUACUCUGUCAUGAAAAACCAGUUUGAUAGUUUGUGAACAAAUGCUUCUUCCUAUUUAAACUAUUAGUCUCAUUUACUUUUUUUUAUAUUUUCCGAGUAAACAUUUUAAUCUUUAAUUUUACUAAUUUUACUUAAUUAAAUUACUAAAAUUUGAUAUUAGUAAUUUUUAUAUUGAAAAAUCAAACAAGAUUUCAAUUGAUGUUUAAAGUUACAUAUUAAGAAUAAAAUAUAUAUAUAUAUAUUUAGAAAAUGAGAAAUAAGAAAAAAUAAGAGCUAGUAUUUGAAAUUUGAUUAACCCCAAACCCUGAACAAUCAAAUUAGCUUUCUAGUACAUGUUUUAUUAUCUUUAAGUUCAUCAUUCUUUGUUAUCAUUACUAGUACAAAUAAAGCUCGAUAGUUGAAGUUCGGUUUUACAAGUAUAAGAGCUAAUAAUAUUAUCGUAUCCAUUCUGAAUGGGAUGGAUAUGCAAGGAUGUGUUACUAAAACUCAUUAUUACACGGCAAUUGACAACUACUCGUUUAUUAAGUAAUUCUACAGGUGUAUGUGUAUGUAUAAACCUGACAUCUUGUUCGGUGGCCUGUAAGCUAAAAUUGGAAAGAGCAACCAGGUAACUAUUCCUGGUAGAUUGGUGGUUCGAAUCCACCCAGGUUAAUCUGUAAUCAAUUACGCCGUUAAUAUAAACUCGUAGGCAAUAACAAUUUUUUAUUUGUUCCGAGAGGAUGAUGAGCAUUGUAGCGUAUCGAUAAUUUUGUACAGCCAAACAAGAUACUUUUAUAUCUGAAUUUUGAUGUUAAUUUUGAAAGAAUCAAGUUUUGACUUGCAAAUUAUUGAAAAAUGACUAUAGUUGUUGCAACUACUUGGAUUUUAAGUGUGGCUAAAGAAUUUUUAAAAUUGCUUACUAUUGGAAUAAUAUAUUUUGUGGGUAUAAUAUAUUGUGGAAAUAAUAUAUUGUGCGGGAAUAUUUUUGGUUAUCUUUUAUAUUUUGUUUUCUAAAAUUCUAGUUGUCUAGUUAAGGUAAUUCUAGGAUUAGCAUUGUAUAUAUAUUAGAGUUGAUUGAUUAAUAAAGGUAAAAGGCCAUAAAUUUAUGCUAAUUCUACAUGGUAUAAGAAACCUUGUUUAUUCUAGGAUUAGUGUUGUAUAUAUAUUAGAAUUGAUUAAUUAAUGAAGUGUGCAUGCGUGCUAAGCAUCCAAGAGAUAGGUUUCCUUUGAGUGAUAAUAAAGCAUCUAGAAUUUUUGAAAAAAAUUCAUUGUGAUUUGUGGGGCCCGUAUACACAUGUUUCGUCGUGUGGAGCUCGUUGUUUUUUGAUGAUAGUUGACGACUAUUCUAGAGUUGUUUGAAUUUAUUUGUUGAAUGAUAAAACGGAGGUCUUUUGUAUGUUUUUGAUAUUUGUUGCUAUGGUAGAAAGACAAUUCUCUCAAACCAUUAAAAUUGUGCAAAGUGAUAAUGGUACGGAGUUUAAUUGCGUGAUUUUUUCAUACUACUAGUAUUAUUUUCCAAAUCUCAUGCGUGGGUACUCCGCAACAGAACAAGAGGGUAGAGAGAAAGCAUAAACAUAUUUUGUCAGUUGGACGAGCUUUGAGAUUCCAAGUCAAAUUACCAAUUUAUUUUUAGGGUGAGUGUGUUCUUGCUGCGGCUCACCUAAUUAAUCGAACUCCUACUUCGUUGCUACAAAAUAAAACUCCAUUUGAAAUCCUCUUUAAUAAACCUUCUAUGUUUGGUGCCAUUCGUACUUUUGGGUGUUUAUGUUUUGCACGUAAUCAGAUUACUCAUGGAGAUAAGUUUCCGAGUUGGAGUCGAAAAUGUGUCUUUGUGGGCUAUCCGUUUGGGAAGAAAGGGUGGAGAUUAUAUGACCUGAAUCCAAAGUCUUUUUUGUGUCUCGAGAUGUCAAAUUUAUUAGGAUGUGUUCCCUUUUGCUACACCGAAAGAUGUUCAUAUUGAGUCUCAUGGUUUUGAGUUGCCUUAUGAUAUACAUGAUGAUUUUGCGGAGUAUGAGGAGUACAUUGACAAUGUGGUGCAUGAUGUGCACAAUGGUGAAUUAUGAGGAUACGAGUAGUGUUGCUGACCUUGCUAUUGCCUCCCCGCCGAAUGAAGCUGCCUCUGCCCAACAGCAUCAGCUCGAAGCUGCCACAAUGCAUCGGGACCAGCCUACUGACACCGGCAGAGAGGCAGCAGGUCAGCCUUUGGGAUGUGGGUUUCGGGAAAAAGUUUUCGCGGUUCUUCUUCGUGAUUAUGUGACUCAAUCAGUGUUUGCUAAAAAUUCGUCCCUCUCCACUCCAUCUUUCAAUGCUACUUCAGGUACGCCUUAUCCUUUAGCACAUUAUGUAAAUUAUGACAAGUUUUCUGUGAAUUAUUAUAAGUUUCUGGCAGCUUUUGUUAGUGCUCAUGAUCCGAAAUCCUUUAUAAAAGCAAUGAAACAUGAAGGUUGGCGACAAUCUAUGUAGGAAGAAAUUAAAGCUUUGGAGGAUAAUGAGACUUGGACCCUAGAGCACCUUCCUCCCGGUAAACGUGCUGUAGGGAGUCAACGAGUGUACAAGACAAAAUAUUUGUCUAAUGGUGAUAUUGAACGUCUCAUGUCUCGUUUGGUCGUUUUUGGUAGCAGGAAGGCAUAGAUUAUAGUGAAACGUUUGUUCCAGUCGCAAAGAUGACUACUGUAGGGUAUUUCUUGCAAUUGUAGCUUAAAAAAACUGGGAACUUCAUCAAAUAAGUUCAUAAUGCCCUUUUGCAUGGUGAUCUUGAUGAGGAGGUGUACAUGAAAAUUACCUCCCGGGUUUGAGAAUUCAGAUCCGUCAUUGGUGUGUCGUCUGAGAAAAUCCUUGUAUGGGUUGAAACAAGCCCCGAGGUGUUUGUUUUCCAAGCUUAUAAGGGUACGACUUCUUACUAUCUCACUCUGAUUAUUCUCUCUUUAUUUACACUAAAGGCAUUGUUUAGAUUAACGUCGUAGUAUAUGUUGAUGAUUUUAUUAUUUCUGGGAAUCAUUCCGCUGCACUUGUUGGUCUCAACGCUUAUCUCGGAGAUUGUUUCAAAAUCAAGGAUCUUGGUCCUUUAAAGCAUUUCUUAGGUAUAGAAGUUUCUCGUAGUGCUUCAGGCCUUUUUCUAUGCCAAUGGAAGUAUACUUUGGAUAUCAUUUUUGAAGCAGGUUUAUUAGGGGCAAAGCCGAGUGGUUUUUCAAUGGAGCAAAAUCAUAAGCUUGGUCGUGCCACAGGCAAACAUCUUGCGGAUCCGGAAGUAUAUCGUCGGCUUGUUGGCCGUUUGAUUUAACUUGCGAUCACUAGACCCGAUUUAGCAUACUCCGUUCAUAUCUUGUCCCAGUUUAUGUAAGACCCUCGCUGUGAAUAUUGGGAAGCAGCUUUGCGUGUAGUUCGUUACUUGAAAGGUACACGGGGUCAAGGUAUCUUAUUAAGUGCUGAUAGUCUCACCUUGCAAGGUUGGUGUGAUUCGGAUUUGGUGGCUUGUCCUCUUACUCGUCGCUCUAUCAGAAGUUGGUUGGUGUUCCUCGAGCAUUCUCCUAUUUCUUGGAAAAAAACGUAACCCACUGUGUCAACGUCUUUUGCAGAGGUUGAAUACCGCUCCAUGGCGGCAUUUACUUGGGAGCUUAAGUGGCUUAAGGGCUUAUUGUUGAAUUUGGGCAUGCACCACUCAAAGGCAAUCAAAUUGUUUUAUGAUAGUCAAUCUGCUCUGCACAUUGCUAAUAAUCUGUUGUUUCAUGAACGAACCAAACACAUUGAAGUUAAUUGUCAUUUUGUUCGAGAUGUGAUUGUUGAAGGCUUGAUUUCUCCAUCAUAUGUUCCUACUACUUAUCAAUUGGCUGGCAUCUUCACAAAGGCUCUUGGGAAGUCACAAUUUGACUAUCUUCUCCCCAAAUUGGGCAUUCUCUCCAAGUCACGGCUUAUAUUAUCUUAAAAAAAACUAUUGAAAAAGAUAAAAUAAUGAAGUAUAUGUAAAUACUACCUUCUAUUCAGCCUAAAUGUUCCAUUUUUUGGGGCACUAUUCACUUAUGACUCUUAAUUUGUAUUUUACUCUUAAUCUAUAAGUUAAAACAUAUUUAUGUGGGAUCUUGUUUGAUUCGUUUCAAUACAAGGAUUAUUAAUAUCAAUUUUUUAUAAUUUUUAAUUAAAAAUAAUUUGAGAUAUUAAGAGUUAAAAUUUUACCUCAACAAGUGUUAAAGAUCAAAUGGGACAAUUGAACUGAAUAGUAAGGGGUGGAGUAUGAAAUAGAUAUGUUUCAAACCACCACACCGACAAACCCUAUUACUUUUUUUAAAAAAAUAAUAUACGCAAAUAGACGGUAGACCAAAACACACGUAACACGUUUAAGCCUACCUGUCAGCUUCCUUUUAUUUUUCUCGUCCAUAAAAAAUUUAUCACCAACUGCCUUAAUGACAUCAACGUAUAUCUAGCCGUCUAUUCUGGUUCUCAUGGCUCAAUCCCGACCAUUGAUUUUUACCCUUUCUUCAAUAAAUGCCGUUUCUUCUUUCUUAAACAAUAGCCAUUCCAUUCUUAUCUCUCUUCCUCUCUUGAAAACUCUUAAAGAUUACUGAAUUUCUAAGAUCUACUCCUAUAUGCUUUGAAUCGUUCGUUUCUUUCACGAAAUUCAUACCAAUCUCUUGACGAUCUAUGUUUCCAUAUCAAUUUCUUCAGUGUUCUGUGGAUUAUUCCUCAUAUCUGCUCAAUCCCGACAAUUGAUUUGGUAUGGCUUUCGAUCCAAGGAGUCGAAUCGGAAAGGCUCCGAUUACUGGGAAGAGAUGAUGACAAAGUAGGAAUCAGGUUUCCAUAUCUGAGUGCUGAUGAAUUCCGGCCCAGAUCAAUCAGACGGCUGGACAGUUGUCUGUCGGCAGUGCUCGUGCGGAAGGAAAUAUUUUAGUGUUUUCGAAGAUAAAGGCGAAGAGCGAUCUGUUGAUUUAUCGGAGACAAUUUUAGCGGUUUGUAUGUGCACCAAUACUAUGUAUUGGAUUUUCGUUGUUUAGAUUUGAAUCAAGUGGUAUUUUUGUGGGAGGAGAGGAAAAAUAUUGUGAGAGAAAAUUCAUCCGACCUUUGCCUUGUUGGGUGCGCUCGCCUGGCAGGUCAACCAUGUUAAUAAAAAUAAACCUUUUGUUUUUUGGAGGAAGAUGGCACGGGGUUUUUGCCCGGCUCUUCCUCCUGUGUCGUGUCUUGCGCUUUUCUUCCCCUUUUUUUUUUUUUUUUCUUUUUCUCUCUAUCCCUACGAUUUCCUUUUAACAUGAUUAGACAACACAACCUGCAUCACAUCGUUUCAAUACUGCACCGCUCUUUCUUCUCAUCAGCGUACAAGCAACACAAAGGUAUAUUCUGUGUUAAAUUCUACUUCGCAAUAUUUCCAAAUAAGCUGCUUUUAUAAAUUCUUCGGUAAUAGUUGUGGAAGCUGCUUACUUGGCAUUUGCCAUUAAUAUCUUAACCUCAAGUAGAGAAGUAUCUAUUAGCCCAAUGAAAUAGAUCAUCUUGGGUUGUAUACGGGUCAUAUAUAAAUAGGGUCAUCAUCCCCUUGAUCUAAACUCAACCCGUUUAGUUAAUUGGGUUGAAAAUAACAAUUCUGAUCUGACCUGCAACAGAUCAGAUCAACCUAAUUCUGACCCCUGAACUCGCUUAUAGUUUUGUUUCAUUUUAUGGUUUUUGAUUUAAUAUUAAUUAUAUAUAAUUUUGUAGGCUUUAUUUUAAAUUUUUGUUUAUAGAUUAUUUUUUGUUUACCCUGAAAAAGAAGUAAAAAUUAAAUGAAUUAAGUUUAGGUUACAAUUAUUUAUUUGACUCACAAUUAAGUUGUUUAAUUAAAUGGUUUAUAUAUGUUUGUUUCAAUUUUAAAAUUUGACCUCGAUCCAACCCAUUACCAUUAAUAAACAGAUCGGGUCAAGUCUCAAAUCCACUUAUUUCGAAUUAGGUUCACGUAGCGGUAGCUGAUUGGAUUAGCUUUUGUCAGCCCGAUUAUUUAUUGGAUAAUCUAAUCUGAGUCUUGCAAAAACAAUUACAGAACAUAUUGUAAUUUUUUAUGUUUUAGUGAUAAAUGAUUUAAAUUAAAUUGUUUAAAUUGCAUGGUAUAAAGGAGUAUGUAUCAAUUGAUAUUAGCCGUGCUGGGUUUUCACAAUAUAUUCAGUCUAUUCAAGAAUUGUAUGUCUGAUGACCAAUUAAUUUAUUACUAUUUACUAUAAUGUCCGGCUCUGUAGCAGGUUGAUUUACAAACAAGUUCGUUAGUUUUAACAUUAAUUUGACUGAUUGAGGGGUUGCAAUCUUUAUUACGGAAGUCAUUUCAAUUUAAAUCACGGCAGCUAAUCUCAAAAUCGCUCCUAAUUGUUGUUGCCCGCAAAUUUAUUCAUGUUCUUAAGUUAUUUAGUUCUUUUAAUUAAUUGUUCUUAAACUUUUAUUACUUUCAAGGAUUUCUGUUUAUGGUACAAUUGAUAUCCUCAUAGGCGGCUGAUGACUUGUCAAUUGUAAGCCAUGUGGGAUGUCAUUUUAGGCCUAGGUUAGAUUGCUUUGUAAAUUGUUUUUGAUUGAAUGUAUAGUUUGCUAGCUCUUGUACGUGGAUCGCCAGCUGAAUUCAGUUCGAGAGAUCAACCCUAAGCAGGGAGCUGCUGUACUUUUGAGAUGAUGCUGUAUAUAAGCAAUUGAGAUGAAGGGAUAGCAAGAGGUACUGAUGUACAGUUGAAUGCAUCCUUAAUUUCUGUUUUCAACCGGAAGCUUCUCUUUGAUGGAGCUUUGCACAUCUCUUGAUCAACAUUCAGUUUUUAUUGAUGUAAUGUUUAUUCUCUUGGAAGCUUAUCAGGUUUUGAGCUCACUGUUGCCUAACUUUGGUUUAUAUAGUGGCAAUUUGUUUCUGGUUUUUUUGCGGAUUGGAUUGUUAGUUUCAUGGAAUGGUUUUGAGAAACUUAUGGAUUGAAGCUUUUGGAACCUGUCUUCAAGUAUUUGUUCGUUCAGUGGUGAGGAUUUCUUAAUAUUCAACUAAGUUGUCGUAUUAUCUGAAGAUUAUUAGUCAUUUUCGGUUUUUCAAUCAUCUGCGCUCUUAGUAUUUGGUUGCUGUUACACUAAUUUAAUUCUACUUUCUAUUAUAUUUGAACCACUUUGCAGAGGGGUGAUAUGAUAGGGAAAGAUCUUCACCCAUUUUGCAUUAGGUGUAAAAAUUUGAGGGAUAGAUGUACUACGGGUAAAAUCAUAGGGAAAGAGGUUCACCCAUUUUCCAUAAGGGUUAAAUUAGAGGGAUAGAUGUAUUAUAUAGAAAGUAAUUUUUUCAGUUGAUCAUUUAUAAUUUUGAUAAUAGUUUCCGUGAAAAUAUGUCUGGAAAACCAGCUAGAUAGUUCGUGAACAAAAAACAAAAAACUAUUCAUUAGCAUUCUAGGACAAGUUUUUUGAUCAUUAAGGGAUACAGGUAUUGUAGGAUAGUUUAAGCCUUUAAGGUCUGUACUAUUAUUAUUAGUGCUAAUAGUGAAAUCGUAUUAACCUUGGUGUUGUCCUAAUGAAAUACUUGGUCAAA